AGUGCAAUUGCUGGGUUGUAUGGUAGUUGCAUGCUUAAUUUUUUUUUUUUUUUAAAGAAACUGCCAAAUUGUUUUCCAGAGUGACUGUACCAUUUUACAUUCCCACCAGCAAU
rnacentral:pre_miRNA from 1 species